rnacentral:lncRNA from 1 species
CAGAUUCAUCGUGAGAACAUGGCACAGGCACUCAGCCCUGACAUGCUGGCUACCGACCUUGCCUACUACCUGGUCCGCAAAGGGGCCCACGAGGCCUCAGGGAAAGCUGUGGUCGUGGCAGAGAUGAAAGGGGUGGCUCUCAACCAGCUGUCACUUCAGGAGCUGCAGACCGUCAGUCCCCUGUUCUCGAGUGACGUGAAUCUCGUGUGGGACUACAGCCACAGCGUGGAGCAGUACACAGCCUUGGG